UCCGUAGGGUGAACCUGCGGAGGGAUCAUUACCGAGUUUACAACUCCCAAACCCCUGUGAACAUACCAAUUGUUGCCUCGGCGGAUCAGCCCGCUCCCGGUAAAACGGGACGGCCCGCCAGAGGACCCCUAAACUCUGUUUCUAUAUGUAACUUCUGAGUAAAACCAUAAAUAAAUCAAAACUUUCAACAACGGAUCUCUUGGUUCUGGCAUCGAUGAAGAACGCAGCAAAAUGCGAUAAGUAAUGUGAAUUGCAGAAUUCAGUGAAUCAUCGAAUCUUUGAACGCACAUUGCGCCCGCCAGUAUUCUGGCGGGCAUGCCUGUUCGAGCGUCAUUUCAACCCUCAAGCCCAGCUUGGUGUUGGGACUCGCGAGUCAAAUCGCGUUCCCCAAAUUGAUUGGCGGUCACGUCGAGCUUCCAUAGCGUAGUAGUAAAACCCUCGUUACUGGUAAUCGUCGCGGCCACGCCGUUAAACCCCAACUUCUGAAUGUUGACCUCGGAUCAGGUAGGAAUACCCGCUGAACUUAAGCAUAUCAAUAAGCGGAGGA
rnacentral:rRNA from 1 species